CACGGGGGGUGCAAGCGUUAUUCGGAAUUAUUGGGCGUAAAGGGCACGUAGGCUGCAUGAUCAGUCAGAUGUGAAAUCCCGGGGCUUAACCCCGGAAGAGCAUUUGAAACAGUCAUGCUUGAGUACUGAAGAGGAAAGCGGAAUUCCUGGUGUAGAGGUGAAAUUCGUAGAUAUCAGGAGGAACACCGGUGGCGAAGGCGGCUUUCUGGUCAGAUACUGACGCUGAUGUGCGAAGGCGUGGGUAGCGAACAGG
rnacentral:rRNA from 1 species